rnacentral:rRNA from 1 species
UCAGGACGAACGCUGGCGGCGUGCCUAACACAUGCAAGUCGAACGGAGUACUAGCGGAAAUUUCGGAUGGAAGCUGAGUAUACUUAGUGGCGGACGGGUGAGUAACGCGUGGGCAACCUACCCAUAAGCGGGGGACAACAGUUGGAAACGACUGCUAAUACCGCAUAAACUGUUUAAGACACAUGUAUUGAACAGCAAAGAUGGCCUCUUAACAAAGCUAUCACUUAUGGAUGGGCCCGCGUCUGAUUAGCUAGUUGGUGGGGUAACGGCCUACCAAGGCUGCGAUCAGUAGCCGGCCUGAGAGGGUGAACGGCCACACUGGGACUGAGACACGGCCCAGACUCCUACGGGAGGCAGCAGUGGGGAAUAUUGCGCAAUGGGGGAAACCCUGACGCAGCGACGCCGCCGUGAGCGAUGAAGGCCUUAGGGUCGUAAAGCUCUGUUGUAAGGGACGAAUGUUCCGUAUAGUAACUGAUGCGGAAGUGACGGUACCUUACGAGGAAGCCCCGGCUAACUACGUGCCAGCCGCCGC